rfam:Rattus norvegicus chromosome 4, whole genome shotgun sequence.
GGGGAUUUAGCUCAGUGGUAGAGUACUUGCCUAGCAAGCACAAGGCCCUGGGUUCGGUUCCAAGCUCCA